rnacentral:rRNA from 1 species
UACGUAGGUGACAAGCGUUGUCCGGAUUUACUGGGCGUAAAGAGCGCGCAGGCGGUCGAUCAAGUCGAGUGUGAAAGCCCCCGGCUCAACUGGGGAGGGUCAUUCGAUACUGAUCGACUCGAAGGCAGGAGAGGGUAGUGGAAUUCCCGGUGUAGUGGUGAAAUGCGUAGAUAUCGGGAGGAACACCAGUGGCGAAGGCGACUACCUGGCCUGUUCUUGACGCUGAGGCACGAAGGCCAGGGGAGCAAACGGG